ensembl:lncRNA
AGGGUGCCUUUAUUUGAUCAAAAAUACAGUAAAAACUAAUGUUGUACAAUAUUGUUGCAAUUUAUUGUUGCAAUGGUUUUUCUGGUGAUAGACACUGAUUGGUACAUGAUGUAAAUGGUAUAAACCUGUGUGUGAGUGGGGAGGGAAACUGCUGAGGCAGAGGGUCAAAAAAACUGCUCUGCUAUUAAGAGAGCGUGUUUAACAGUUACACUUUUUACCUGACCUCUUCCUUAUUUAAUAUUCAACUUCCCGAACAUGUGUUGUCCUUCUGUCCAUCUACUGUGCCCAUCUGGAGCAUGUGUGUUUGCAUGUGUGUGUUAGUGUGCGAGGGAAGCAGUGGGGUGCUUGGACCAGGACAGGUUGGAGACGCAGCAUGUGUCCUCUGAGAGGGACACAAACAGGCUGGUUUGAACCUAACAGGCCAGUCAUAUGGCUGUGUGUUCAGCCCCCACAGUGAGGGCUCAGGGCAGGCCAGGCUCACAGCUGGCCAGACAUUGUGGAGCCAGUCGACAGGCGCAUGGAGGGCUGCCCGCCCCGGCCUCUUCCUUUGCAAACAUGCCCCGGUGUGGGGCCUGAUGGCUGGGCCUCUGAUGUGUGUGUGUGUGUGUGUUGGAGUGGGGGGGUCAGAGCAGGAGGACGCAUAAAGGGUGGGUAUUCCCACUGAAGCUGUGUCAACACUGAAUGCAUGGGAGUGUUUGUGGCAUGGGGGGUGGGGAGGGGGCUGUACGCAGCAAUUACUGGCUCAUUGUAACCACAUUGUAGGGAAAUUGCUCAUAUUUUGCCAAGCAGCCAGGCUGGCGCACAGGCAGAUGCUUAGAGUGCAACGAAGGGCUUUCAUUUAAGAUGCAUGCAGGCGCAGCGGUCGUUUAAGUCAACAAUGCAUUCUCGAGUCUCGACACAUGCAUACAUGCAUGCUUCUCUGUGACCACAUGUGGGAAUUGUAUACUUCACAUGUCUGCUAAAUUACAGCAGAUGUAUGAUGUUUUGAACUCGUGGGACGGACGGUCCAAGCUGUUAAUCUAUGAUCUCAUCCUGAGGCACGGUUCGUUAGAGACGAGUCCAAGGGCUGGACAAAAGGUGCUUGAAUGAGAUAACAUCCAAUAAGCCUUUGAACAUCUUAUCUGUGGCCCAGACACACAC